GGAUCCAUAAGUCGGUAUAAUGACAAUAUUUAAUACACAUUAUUUACUCAUGACUAAAAUGAAUAAGCUUUGUUAACUUAGCUCGGAGUAAACAGCCGAAAUUUAGGAGCCGAUUAAAAGUGAAAUAAACUUACUAGUGACAAUUACUUAUCUACUUACUCCCAGGAAUAACGGAGCAACGAUGAGACAUAAUCCAUACUCCAUAACCUGAUAAUGUACAUAAUCUAUGAGUAAACACCCGAAAUCUAGAAGCCGA